AUGAAGAAAAUCACAAUACCCACACACACACACACACACACACACACACACACACACACUUACUCAGUGUCCCCCAGUGCAGGUAUGACACAAUUGCCUUUCCACACUGUCAUUUCUCUAAUUCAACUUCCUGUGUCUCUCCUAGCAAGGUCACCAGCUGAACUCAUUGGUGUUGACACCCCGGAUGAUAGCGUAUUGUCCCCAGUGACACAUCCACAAGGCCGGGCGGUUUUACUCUCCACCUGCCCUGUGGGGGUGACAGCACCUCAGAUGUACAGCACACCUGAAGAAGGCGCUGGCAGGGAGUCUGCAUCCUUCUGCUUAACACACGGCAGCUGUGCUGAGGGAAGAUCCCUCUCCUAUACUAUGUCAUUCCCUGGUGACCGCAGCAAUGCCCCUGGUGACCGCCUGCUGCCCUCUUCUUGUUGA
ensembl:lncRNA